rnacentral:tRNA from 1 species
ACAUCCCCUGCAGUGA